rnacentral:misc_RNA from 1 species
CAACCCUCAAGCCCCCGCUUGGUGUUGGGUGCCGGCGCCGGCGCCUGCGAGUUCUCUCGCAGCAGCGCCCGCCGCCCCCGAAAUUGAUUGGCGGUCUCGUCGCGACCUCCCUUGCGUAGUAACAUACCACCUCGCAUGGCGGAGCGCGGCGCGGCCACGCCGUAAAACAACCCAAUUUCUCAAG